rnacentral:lncRNA from 1 species
UGUGCUACAGAGGAGGCUUUUGUUCUUAAUUGUAGAAGAAUAUAGUCCUAAAUAAACUGUCUGGAGAAUGUCUUCUAGCAUUAAGAAAUGGUGAAAUUUAUUUUGAAAAGUUUUUCAAGGGUGUAAUAAUCGCAAAAACAGCUUUCAGUAAUCUCACUAAGAUUGUUUCCAUGAAUGCUGAGAGCUGUGGACACUUGUGAACAUUCACGUAAUAACGUAAUACAAUGUCAUAAACAUGUGUCAGAGUCAGGGAAGGGACAGCAAAUUUGCAGCAGCCUAGAAAAAGAAAUAUCUGAAUAAAGAUAAAUGGCACUUACUUGUCAAAACAGAAUGAGGUUUAUAAAGAUGAGUAAUGGAGAUCAGCAUUAUCUCCAGGAGGUUCUCUGAUUUGCUUCAACCCUAUUACAUACACUCAAAUUUUGUGUGCUGUUCAGUUACAGGUAAGACUAAAAAGCCUAAUGUUCAAUUUUGGAGAUGCUGCCCACAAGAACAUUGGGUUGUGUUCCCACAUGCACAUAUGAGGAGGAGGAAAUGAAACAUCAAAAUGAAAAGAAAAUGGAAUUUCACACCAAUGGCUCUCAAGAGAAAACUGAAGAUUUAUUCAAAUAUUUAUCCUCAUUUUGUGAACUACUGACUCUCCUCAUCCAAACAUGCAAAUGGGAUUAAGCAUAGCUUUGGAUCUUAAACAAACAAACAGUCCAAAGUUCUUACUAUGGAAAUAAUCAUAUUCUUCACAUUUGACUUGAAGCUGAAUUAUUACCAGAAAAAAAUAGAUUGUGGCAUUACAGUGUGUUAGUAAAUAGUAGAUAGACACAGGAGGCUACAAAAAUAAAGUAAGAUUUUCUCCACAUAAUGUCCUGUAAAACAUGUACACUUCACCUUCAUAUGUGAUAAAAGACACAUUUGAAGUCAGAGAAAUUAGGAAAUCAGAGAAAGGAAUCGAUAGCAUGACAUUUAGAAAAGAAGUUUCUUCCUUGCUACCUAAUUCCAAAAGGAGAAAGAAAAUACCAUGAAGAACUUGUCCAUUCUAGAGGUGUUUUUGUUGCUCUUUAUUUCCUUUGUAAAACGAACAUCUUAAUCUGUUCACAGUUUGGCACAUUAGAUUCAUUUCAAUGACAAUUCUUCCAGAUAUCCAAGUAACAAAACUGAAGGAGAGAUGCCACAUCUCAUACUUCUUUCUAUCCUUGCCUAUUAACACACACCUGUGCUUAGAAAGGAAAUAUUAUUGGACCUCAACUAAGAACUUUCUUUUUUUUUUUCCUUAUCACACACUUGUUUAUCACAGUGUAAUAGUCACAGUCUUCAUGAGGUUUGGGCAUGAUUCUGAUCCUUGACAGCUGGAGACAUGCAACAUUUUUGGGGUUCUUUCGUCACUCAGAUUUGAUAAUAAAAAAAUGAAAAAUGUGUCUUCACAAUUUCUUUUCAAAGACAUUCCAAACAACUGGAAGUGGCUACUCAGGAUACAGGUAUAAGGACAGCUUUGCCAUUUGAAUAUCAAUAUUUUUAUUUUGUGUUUUCAUGUACAUCUGUCUGCUCGCAAUCUAAAUGCUGCAGUGAACACAGGAUGUACCGUGAACUAGAACUUCCAUUUGCUAGUAGAUUUUUUUUCAUAAAUGUUCUUUGUAGUCUAUAUGAAUAUGGGCAUUUUAAUUAUUGAUCAGAAGCAUUAUUUCUUAUUUGCAUCUGUGUUGUGGAAGAGUUCUUAAAAACUGAGCAGAAAUUCACGCACAUUUAGAUUAUUCUCUUUUCUGGCUGUUCAUUAGUUAAACGCUUAUGCAACACCCUUCCUUACAAACUGCACUACAUCUCUCCCAUUACUGCUCUGACAAAUCUUUCUGGGCCUGAUCUGCAGGCCUAUGAAGUCAAUAGGAGCCCAUCCAACAGCCCCAGCAGGCUUUGGGUCCAGUCUCUCUCACUUCCAACUUCUUAGUAAGAAAAAAUAUGCACAACACCAGAAGGUGUAAAAUAUGAAUCAGGUAAUAUUCUGUAAUGCAUGUGGGUAAAACAAUGGACUUUGGUCCACCUUUGUGACAAACAUGUCAAGAAAUCAGUGUGAUACCUGUUCACUGCAAAGUAGGAAUGAAAAUCCAGCAAAUAUUUUUGACAGAAGCUAAAUUUCCUUGGUUAAAAGGCUGUCUUUCUGAAAUGAAGUUUCUUUGAUACAUCUCUCUCACUUUGUUUUUUGCCCAGUCCCUUUACCUUUGAAAUAUAUUCUGCGCUGGCCAAACCCUCUUCCUCUGAAGUCAAUGGGAGUUUUACCAUUGAUUUCAAUGGGACAAUGAUCAUACACAGGUUGCAAAACACAGUGAGAAAAAAUAUCAUUGUCAAAGUUGAAAGUAUGAGAAACAUUCACACGAUUUGACAAUUCCACCGUAAAACCUCCAGCAUCAACCAGCUUUUCCGUGUGUUUCCCGCAACUCACGCCCGGCAGCGCAGGAUAACACAAAGCCCCGCGCCCCGGUGCCUUCAACACUCGGCAUCGGAGUUGAGCCCCAGUCUGCGAGGAGUUAGCACAGCCACGCGCUAAUCCGACAGCAAACAUUUUGCAAGCAUCAACCCUUCCCUAAGGGACGAGCAUUCUGCCGCCGGAGCCCAGGGAAGCGCAUGGGAGGGCGCAGCCAGGACGGGCAGCGGGCACCUGGCCGCUCCACUACUCAGCUCCUGAGAUAGGGAGUAGAAUGGAUCAUUGUUGAGGCCCUCCUCUGGACCUGCGCCGAACAGCUCCAUGUCCUUCUUGUCUUGGGGACUCCAGAACUGGACACAGUACUUCAGAUGAGGUCGAGUUCUGACCCUUGAGCUUCAAGGGUUUCCCGUAGAUUUUAAUAGAAGCUUGUGCUAGGAAACAGGUCAAGAAGAAGGACUAGCCAUCAAACCAUAUUUUUAACAUAGCUACUGCAGUUCCCCACAGAGAACAUUUUUGUCAUUGUUCCUCAGACAUGAACUUGUUGGAUCUGACUGUGCUUUCAUCUUUCUAGUGCUAUCCAGAAGUAACUCGAGUGGAAGUACACAAAAUACAGGGAUGCGAGAGUGGUAUAAGGGAGAUUUAAAAUGGACUUGUGAAAGAAUUUCUCCUGCCUUGCCAUAUGGAUAUUGAUUUCUCUCCCUCAGGCAGAAUAUAAUUGCCUGCUCUAAUUUAGCAUUGAUCUACCCACCCAAGUUUCUUAAAGUACUACACAGGCCUCAAUUAAAUUAUUCCUAAUACCACCUUUGUGAAGUAGGAUAGCUGUAAUUACUCACACUUAGAAAAUGGUGAGAGGUAAAAAGCGAUUUGUCCAAACCAUGCAGUGCAACAAGACACGAUUAAAGCAGGAGGCAAACAUACUAUGCCAUGUGCUGUACAUCAAAUUACCCUGAGUUUUUCUAAUAGCAAAAUAUUUGUUCAUCCAAUAUUUUGUGAUUCCAAUGAACCACACUUGGUUAGAUACUAAGUGUACCAGGACUUCUGUUGUUCUUAUCAAUACAUCUAUUUUCUCCUUCAUGAGACCUCUAGAGAUCAUUGAGUCCAGCCCCCUGCAAAGCGGGCCCCCUACAAAGGAAUAACACCUCUUGCUGCUGAAUUCAACAAAUGUGGUCUCGCCACUAUUUUUAAGUGUCAUUUUAUUUAUUAGUUCAAGAGAAACCAGCCAGACUGAUACUGAGGAGAAACAAGUACAAAGUAUUUUGUAUACACACCCAAUAGAUCAGAAAAAAUGCAGGUUUUAGCAACUGAAGGAGCCCAACGCUAAGGCAACACAAGUUAGGUAAUACUUUGAAUCAGAUAAAAAUGAUAAAGUAGUGCUGAGUAUUUGGGUGACAAACUGAACUUAGUCAGGUCUUCUAUGCAACAUGUGACUUGAAUUCAAUGAGAAGAAACAAAUAGCUGUAGAACAAGUGAAGGCAAUGACAGAGCCUUUAUUUGAGAAAUAGGCACUAGAGGAAAAGAUAUCAGAAAGGAAUUGACUCACCCCUCCCGGUAACAGUGUGGAGAGAGGGACGAGCUGAGAAAUGCGACCCUCCCCGGGUCCUGUCGCGCCGCUGGAGAGA